rnacentral:rRNA from 1 species
UAGAGUUUGAUCAUGGCUCAGAUUGAACGCUGGCGGCAGGCCUAACACAUGCGUGUCGAGCGGUAACAGGAAGAAAGCUUGCUUUCUUUGCUGACGAGCGGCGGACGGGUGAGUAAUGCCUAGGGAUCUGCCCAGUCGUGGGGGAUAACAGUUGGAAACGACUGCUAAUACCGCAUACGCCCUACGGGGGAAAGGAGGGGACCUUCGGGCCUUCCGCGAUUGGAUGAACCUAGGUGGGAUUAGCUAGUUGGUGAGGUAAUGGCUCACCAAGGCAACGAUCCCUAGCUGGUCUGAGAGGAUGAUCAGCCACACUGGAACUGAGACACGGUCCAGACUCCUACGGGAGGCAGCAGUGGGGAAUAUUGCACAAUGGGCGAAAGCCUGAUGCAGCCAUGCCGCGUGUGUGAAGAAGGCCUUCGGGUUGUAAAGCACUUUCAGCGAGGAGGAAAGGUUAAUAGUUAAUAACUGUUAGCUGUGACGUUACUCGCAGAAGAAGCACCGGCUAACUUCGUGCCAGCAGCCGCGGUAAUACGAGGGGUGCAAGCGUUAAUCGGAAUUACUGGGCGUAAAGCGUACGCAGGCGGUUUGUUAAGCGAGAUGUGAAAGCCCCGGGCUCAACCUGGGAACUGCAUUUCGAACUGGCAAACUAGAGUCCUGUAGAGGGGGGUAGAAUUUCA